UUAGGGAUAGUGAGAAAACUAUUGCAAACAAGGAAGAGAAGUACCAUUUAUACUGUGUCAACUGAUGGAUUCUCUCUUCGGAAAUCUGGAGUGUUAAGCAUAGGCGGAUUGAGUUUGAAAUGGUCAAGGUCCCUUGAGAAACAUUCUCAAAAGGUUAAUGAGGUACUGAAUUCAACUCUUCCUGAUCGUUCAUAUUCAAUAAUCUAUGUGAAUUGGGUGUAGUAAGGAAAUCAUCAUAGCAUUUUAUUCAGAUGCAGACCCCAAUAGAAAUCUGUGAGAAUAGAUUCACUGAAUAUAACUGGACCUUCCUUUUUUGCUCUAGAAGCUUCUAACGGAAUAGUCUGAUCGCAAAUGUAACUGAUUAUCCUUAAAUGAUUCCCUGGUUUCAAGAGUUGACAUUAUUAGACUAUCAGGAGAAUCAUCAGAACAGCUACACGGUUAGCUUGUCUCCUGGUUUCAUUUGUCAAACUUAUAUAGAAUUGGUAGAAUUGCGUAAUUUAUAUGCUUUUCAACAACGAGGACAUUAUUCAACAACUAGGUCCUGCUACGUUGCACUAGUUUUGCUUGUCUACCAUAUAUGGUUUGAUCGUCUAUUGCAACUGUCUUGCGAUGGUUGUAUUAUAUUCAUGAUACGUAACUAUAUAAUUCUGUUCAAUGCAACUGGUCCUUUCAUAUAAAUUAUGCUUCUCUGCCUUGAAAUUUAAUGAGAUUCAUGGUUGAUUAGUAAUUACUUUUGAUCAAUAUCCUUUCCAUGUUGGAAUACUUUACUUUGAACUACCUUUCUUAAAGUUGUCAGUAUCUGCCUCAUCUCAUAUCUGUUCGUUAAUUUGCUCACUAUAUUUGUGCUGUUUUCACUGAUGGUUCAUGAUUCCCUUUUUUUUUCCAGAUCAAUACCCUGCAAUUGUUGCUGCCAAUCAAUUAAGAAAUAGUAGCAACAGAGCAUCUUCAGAUUCCAGGGUGCCAUCAACUUGCAAUGAAUAUGUGCGUGUUAACAAAGGUAACCAACUGGUCAGAAAUCCAAAGAAAGUAAUCC